rnacentral:sRNA from 1 species
UUCACUCAACAGUGACAUCCAGGACAUCCUCCCACAUUCCAGGAACCAAGAGGGCCUGAUGUGAAUUCAGCAUCAACAAACUCAAGUCCAUGGAAAAGAAAGAAGUGCUUUAAGACCGAGCUUUCUAAUUGCUUGAGGUCUGGACAUGGACUAGGGCAUAACUUAUAUAACCAGGACACAGAAGCUGCUCGUGAGCAAGAGAACAGUAAUAAACACUCUCAGAAGGGCAUAGCUUCUACUACUCUCUGACCGUUCCUUCUCAGCCUCGUGGAGUUGCCCUCAUUCUCCAUCUCAGGAAUCACAUGAACCUCAAGAUACUGAUCCUGUUAGCUAGGAGUCAGGUCAUCUUCACGGAAGUAGGUAUGGCUCUGGCUGAAGAUACGCUCAGCACUUAAGAGCAUUCGCUUUUCUUCCAAAGGAAACAAGUUCUCCCAGGAUGGAAGUCGGACUGUUCACAACUACGAGACUCCAGCUCCAAGACAUCUGACACCCUCCUUUGAUGUUGGUGGGUACUUACAUAUUUAUGCACACGCACACAUACACACACAUAGUCACAGGCACACACACAUGCACACACAAUUAACUUGUUAAACGUGUAUGGCUGCUCCGUUCUUAGGCUGGUGUCCCUAGCCUCUCCUGAAAUCCAUAUGCUGGAAUCUAAUAGCCAUUAUGAUGGGACUGAGUGUCAAUUUUUUUUGGGAAAAGAAUUAAAUCCCGAGGACCCCACCUUCAUGAGUGGGAUUGAUGCCCUUUUAGAAGAUGUUCAGACAAACUCUCUCAUGUCCUUCUCCCAUAAGAAGAUGCAACACAAGGAUGCUGCCUCAGAGACAGAGAGAACACCGGACAAGAAACUGUAUUUUAUGCUUCACCUUUCCUGGCUGGCCUCUAGACUUAUAAGCAGUAAACAUCCAUCAUCUGUGAGCUACUAAUCUAAGUACUUUAUCAUAUGUGAGUACACGAAGACCAUGAUUUAAGCCAACAUUACAAGAAGAUAUGGAUGGGUUUAGACUUAAAAUGAAUCCCAAAGCAAUUCUUUAUGAAGAGGGUACGAAUUCGUCACAGAAUACCUGUAAAGAUAAACAUUUUCAAAGGCAAUUUCAGUUGCAAAUAUGUGGCAUGAAAAAUAAACUC